rnacentral:rRNA from 1 species
CAGUCGAGCGCGGGAAGCAAGCUGAUCCUCUUCGGAGGUGACGCUUGUGGAACGAGCGGCGGACGGGUGAGUAACACGUGGGCAACCUGCCUGUAAGACUGGGAUAACCCCGGGAAACCGGGGCUAAUACCGGAUAAUACUUUUCAUCACCUGAUGAGAAGUUGAAAGGUGGCUUUUAGCUACCACUUACAGAUGGGCCCGCGGCGCAUUAGCUAGUUGGUGAGGUAACGGCUCACCAAGGCAACGAUGCGUAGCCGACCUGAGAGGGUGAUCGGCCACACUGGGACUGAGACACGGCCCAGACUCCUACGGGAGGCAGCAGUAGGGAAUCUUCCGCAAUGGACGAAAGUCUGACGGAGCAACGCCGCGUGAGUGAUGAAGGUUUUCGGAUCGUAAAGCUCUGUUGUUAGGGAAGAACAAGUGCCGUUCGAAUAGGGCGGCACCUUGACGGUACCUAACCAGAAAGCCCCGGCUAACUACGUGCCAGCAGCCGCGGUAAUACGUAGGGGGCAAGCGUUGUCCGGAAUUAUUGGGCGUAAAGCGCGCGCAGGCGGUCCUUUAAGUCUGAUGUGAAAGCCCACGGCUCAACCGUGGAGGGUCAUUGGAAACUGGAGGACUUGAGUACAGAAGAGGAGAGUGGAAUUCCACGUGUAGCGGUGAAAUGCGUAGAGAUGUGGAGGAACACCAGUGGCGAA